rnacentral:rRNA from 1 species
GAUGAACGCUGGCGGCGUGCCUAAUACAUGCAAGUCGAGCGAACAGACGAGGAGCUUGCUCCUCUGACGUUAGCGGCGGACGGGUGAGUAACACGUGGAUAACCUACCUAUAAGACUGGGAUAACUUCGGGAAACCGGAGCUAUACCGGAUAAUAUAUUGAACCGCAUGGUUCAAUAGUGAAAGACGGUUUUGCUGUCACUUAUAGAUGGAUCCGCGCCGCAUUAGCUAGUUGGUAAGGUAACGGCUUACCAAGGCAACGAUGCGUAGCCGACCUGAGAGGGUGAUCGGCCACACUGGAACUGAGACACGGUCCAGACUCCUACGGGAGGCAGCAGUAGGGAAUCUUCCGCAAUGGGCGAAAGCCUGACGGAGCAGCGCCGCGUGAGUGAUGAAGGUCUUCGGAUCGUAAAACUCUGUUAUUAGGGAAGAACAAAUGUGUAAGUAACUAUGCACGUCUUGACGGUACCUAAUCAGAAAGCCACGGCUAACUACGUG